rnacentral:lncRNA from 1 species
UCCAUCCCGGUACGGAUGAUGGGCGACUCAUCUUCGAAGGUCAUCAGCGCGGAGGAAGCUUUGCCAGGACGCACAGAGUCGAUCCCCGUAGCAGCACUGCCCACCCCCAGCCUCUCUCCCAACCAGAAAUUAAAUUAUUUUGUUUGGAAAGAAGUACCUGGAAAACAUAGCUGGCCAGCCAAACACCAUGUCAGUGGCAACAGAACGGUUGAACCUUUCCCAGAGGGAACACAGAUGGCUGUAUUUGGAAUGGGCUGCUUCUGGGGAGCUGAGCGCAAGUUCUGGCUCUUGAAAGGAGUGUAUUCAACCCAAGUGGGUUUCGCAGGAGGCUACACACGCAAUCCCACCUACAAAGAGGUCUGCUCAGAAAAAACCGGUCACGCAGAAGUCGUCCGGGUUGUGUACCGGCCAGAGCACGUCAGCUUUGAGGAGCUGCUCAAGGUCUUCUGGGAGAAUCACGACCCGACCCAAGGGAUGCGCCAAGGCAAUGACUGUGGCACGCAGUAUCGAUCGGCGGUCUAUCCCACCUCCGCCGUGCAGAUGGAAGCUGCCCUGAAAUCCAAGGAGGAGUACCAGAAGGU